rnacentral:misc_RNA from 1 species
GACGUACUGGCGGGAAUUUUGUUGUUUAUAAUUUUACUACUUUGAGUGUGACAGGUUUAUUGUUAUCUUGUGAAGCUACCUUUGUAAAGCUUUAUUUAUUUGUAAACAAUCUUAAACUGAAGCUGAAAGUGGCGCAGUAAUGAUUGGGUGUCACGGAAGUGCAAGUGCCAGUGGCAGUGGUUUUGCCACUCAGAAUUAUGAACAGCGAUGUAUUUGAUUCUGAGGAUUUAUUAGAUGACGAUAGGAAGUCAGAUGUUCACGAAUUCAGUGACAAUGAAUGCAGUGGCCCACUGGCUAUGGAUGGAUCAGAUGAAGAAGAUGGCUAUAGUUUAGACAGCAUUAAGAAGAAUGCAAGGAAAGGAUACAGACAAAAGUCAGAUAAGAAUAAUAAAGACAAAGGGGUAAAAGAUAAGAGACCUCGGAAGAGUGCAGAAGGGAGAAAUCAGAUCCACAGUGAAACACAGAGGAUUAUUAGACAAUCAAGCGUGUCCCUGCCGUAUCAUAAGCCGAAGCCACUUACGUUGGCCGAGUUUCUCACCCGAAAGAAAGAAACGCGCCCAAUAAAGUUGACACCAAGUGAGAUACGUCAUGAAGCCAAAUUGCAGAAGGCAGCAUCACGGAAGGAGCCUCGUCGUUCUUUGCCCGAUCUUGGCGGAAACGACGAUGCUACUAUCCAGACGGAAAGUUCCUUGUGUGUGUCAAACGACGAUGCUACUAUCCAGAAGGAAAGUUCCUCGUGUUUUUCAAACGACGAUGUGCGUGACUGUGUCAACGGAACCAAUGACGAGCUGCCAGAUCUCAGCAUUGUCAUCGGCCAGAGUGCUGCGGUCGGCGAGACCCCCAGUGCGUCCGGUGAUAGAGUGGAGACGGGAGGUAUGCCUGAGGAUAGUGUGGGAAGAAAUGUGGCUCAAGACGCGAGUUUUGUCGCCGUAGACAUCGAUCUGCCAUCAUCAGUUGCUCCUCUAACUCCAAGUGACGAGAAAGCAGAGUCUGUAGGUCUGAGUGUCCACCCAGAUACGAACGCGAUCGAAGGAGAUAGCUGGCAACCAGUUACUAAUCGGGAAAGUGAAGCUGGUGACCUCGUACAGGAAAGCGAAUCCCUGAACCUCGUACAGGAAAGGGAAUCCCUGAACCUCGUACAGGAAAGCGAAUCCCUGAACCUCGUACAGGAAAGCGAAUCCCUGAUCCUCGUACAGGAAAGCGAAUCCCUGAACCUCGUACAGGAAAGCGAAUCCCUGAACCUCAUCCUGGAGGAAGAUGAGAAGGGGAAUCCUGCUGUCGACCAGAAAAUGACAGCUGUGGUCGACGCGUCGCCAGAGAGAAAGGCAAAGUCUUUCCGCUUCGACGACGACUUGGACGACGCAGAAGCAGCUUGGCCAGGCGUCGGUGAGAGUCAGGACUGUGCACCCUCGACGUCGGGGUUGAUGUCGCCGAGGAGAAGGAGCGGAGUGACGCCGAAACUUGCUGCUCUGAAGCUACAAGCUCUGAGGAAUGCGCGUGUGGCGCCUCGUCUAAGCAGCGGGCCGAAAGAUUAUAUUAAACUCUCCGGGCAAGAGAUGGCGCCACCACAGCCACGCGGCAUGGUUGACCUGAAGCAGCGGUUCAUGAAGCACACUGCAAAGCAAACGCCACGUCGACGACACGAUGUGCAGCUGCAUAUUGUGCAUAAAGAGGCAGACACACAGGGAAAGGAGAUACUGGUCACUGAUUCUAUCAACGUGUCAAUCUCAGGAGAUGAAGAGACUAACCUUCAGCAUAAUAAACCUGGAGCAAAACUGCUAAAGCUGCGUGAAUCCCUAAAAGUGAAAAUCAAGGAAAGAAGAGACCAGAGCCUGCAACGAAGAACCGAACUGUACAAGCUUGAUAAUGAGGAGGAAUGUGAGGGAGAAGAGGAAGAUGUUGAGGAAGAGGAGGAAGAAGCAGAAGAGGAGCUCACAACAGAUGAAGAAAGUGAUGAACAGGUUUCCGAGAACAAGGUUAAGAGAAAGAAAUCCAAAUGCACUUACGUAACCGAGGAGUGUGAAGAAGAAGCAGCAGAAGGUGGUGAUGAUAGUGACGACGAUGAUGAUAAUGAGGAAGAGGAUGAUGAAGGAGGAGAUGCAGAUUCAGAGGCUGAAGAUGAAGAUUUACAGCAGGUCGAAGAAGGUGGAGUAGAAGAGGAAGAGCAGAUGGAGUUGACUUUACACACAGACUCGGAGAGUGAUGAUGUACCAGAUGAUAAGGGGGGAGAGAGCCGUUCGAUCGCAUCAAAGUUUACUUGGAAGCAAGUAUCCCCAGUCUGUAACUCCAUCAACACCAUCCAGGACCUCUUUGGCACAGGGCCUAGCUCAAGUGAUAAAAGCAGGAGUCCUGCCCUUACGAAUCUUAAAAAGAGGCUCAGCCAUGAAACUAUGCAUGGAGCCCUGUCACAUCAAAAGUCAAAGGACCUAUUUGAAGAGCAUGAGUCCCACCCUGCUCGUAUGGGCUUUAUGACUGCAUCUGAUCCAGACUCAAGUUUCGAGUUUGGCGGUUCUAUAAUUCCUCCAAACCAACCAGCAGUAGGCAUGACAGAAGGUGGAACCAAUAUACAAACCCAACAGCCGGAAUUUCUCACUCCUAUGCCAAGAGAGAAAGCAUUUGCUUUAUUAAGAUCGGAUUCCAACAGCACCAAAAUGUUAAUGCCUGUUGAAGACUCUCAGGACUUGUACGAAGGCACGACUGGAAAGCAGGCGACAGUCAGUUCGUCGAGUGAGUCACAGCUUGGUUUUCGUCUGCCAAUGUACGAGGACAGCCAGUUGAGCCAGUUGCUGGAUGCAGAUGGCUUCUUAAAGACGAGGAAGAGCAGCGAUAAGAAGAGCCACAAGCAGAAGCUGCCGAUGACGGAGGAUGACAACGCGGCCGACAUGGGAGAGCUGCUGCAGCUCUGCUCGGGGCAAUUUGCGACAGACACGCCCAGCAGCCAGGAGCGCAAGUCCGCGAAGAACCUGUUUGGCUCGCGUGCAGACGACGGCGAGACGAUGGAAGAUCUCGUCAACCUGUGUUCGGGAACGUUCGGCGCGAGUAGCGAACCGCAGACGAUGUUCGCUGCGGGUGGAGAAGCUGGAGGCGUGUUCGGCGGUGGCGAGUCGCGCCUCAAAGGGAUAUUCGGAAGUCAACUCGACAGAGUUCCGAGCAAAGCCAACAUGAAGGAGGUCGUCGGACUUUGUUCUGGCACCUUCUCUGCUGAGCCAAGCAUUGAACCAGAUGAGCCAACAGCAGUCGCCCCGUCAAAUUGUGGGAGCAGCUCCAUUGCAUGCUCUGAGACAUUUACACCCCAUCUAAGCAGUAACGGUCACCAGGAAACCAAUACUGCAUCGAUAAUGGCAACGUCACAGGAUAACCAUCUUGGGUUUACUGGCUUCUUUACUGGCGGCGGACGCCCAACCCCGGCCGACCCCGAGGAGGAGGCGCAGGACGACGAUUUCGUGAUUGUGACAGGUCACAACUUUGACAGCGACGACGACGACGACGAUGACGAAGACGACGAUGAAUUUGUCGUUUGUCGGCGGAGAAAGGCGCGGCCGCCGACGGCUGAGUCGGAUGCGGAGGCGAGCGACGACGCGUCGGCGAACAUCGACUUUGAGCCGAACCUCGGCGACCUUGGCUCGGGGGUCAAGAAGCGAAGGUCGAGAAUCCGGAGGCCGGUGUUUAGCGACGAGGAGGAAUCGAGCGUUGUUGCGCACGAGUGGCAGGCAGCGGAGGACAAUUCUAGCAGGGGCUUUCAACUCAUUGCGAACACUAGAAAACAGGUCAUCAGUAAAGAAUUUCUUGAGGCAGAGGCAGAGUUGUCCGGCAGUGAGGUGGGUAGCGAUGAGGAUUGGGAUGGGGCAGAGGAGGAUGACGUUAUGGAGGAGGAGAUGGGAGACAUUGAGGACCUUCCCUCCAACAAUGAACUACGAGAUCAGAUCAACAAGGUUCACAUGAAACAAAUGAUAGACGAUGACAACAGAGAGCUGAGGCUAUAUCAGGAGGCCUUCUUAGAGGAUGGAGACUUGUGGAAUGGCAGCAAGGGUAGACAGCGACAGUUCAAGUGGAAAAAUAUAGAUGACAUAAAUGACGCCGAUCGACCCUCCGGCUAUGGGUCUGAUGAUGAGAAUGUGGUCAGAGACGAUGUGGAUGAGCAGGAUAGCCAGUGGCGUAAAGCCAGGUUUGAGAGAGACCAGUGGUUGCAAGACAACAAGAAAUCAAUUGAUGCAGAGUUACCAGAAGAUGAGCAGAGUCAACGUUUCAAGUUUGACGAUGCAGUUUUCAAGAAAAAAAGAAAACAUACAGCAACAAAAGCUAUUACCUAGUAACCAAACCAACACAGCAAAGAAGGAUGGAGCACCAGUAACACCUACGAAAAUGUUCAAACUAUCUCAAUGGAAGGGCUCGUUCCUGUCUAGAGGAAAGCAUACACUUAGCAAGCUGGCAGCGAUGACUAAGAGUGAGGGCAAUGUUAAUGGACCGAA